AUGGCUGUCAGGCCGGCACGGGGGAGCCAGGCCGCGGCGAGGGGAGGCGGACAAAAUGGCUGCGCGCCCGCGGCGGCGAGCGGGCCCGGGGGGCUGCCGUGGGCACUGGGUGCCGGGCCGGGGGGCAGCGCGGUCCCGGCACCCCGCUCGGCUUCACCUCGCCGGGCGAAAACAACCGCCCCRGGGGGGCCGCGCGUGCAAAAAGGGGUUAGGGAAAAGCGCGUGAAAGGGGGAAGAAAAAAGAAAAAAAGGAGGGGGGGGAGAGGAAAAAAAAAUUCCCCCGCCAGGCUGGUUGGCAACGCCGGGCCGCUGUGUUUUGACUGUGUUGUUUGGAUUGUCUCAGCCUUUUCCCGGCAUCAGCCAAAGCUGCGAAAGAAAAAUGCCGAAGGCCAAACGGGUGGGAGGAGGAGGAGGAUGGAGGGAGCGAGAGAAAAGAGGGGAGAAGGAGGGAGGGGAGGGGGAAACAAAACAAGACAAAAAAAUCACAAAAGUUUUGGAAGGGCUUUGAAACCAGCCUGGCCCCACACCAGCUCCCGGGGCGAGCGGGAGGCCCGCUGCAAGGCCGGGAAGCGGCRGUGGCGGCGCGGGGUGGUGGCGGCGGGGCCGGCCGCCUGCGCUGGGUGUCAACGCCGCCGCUGGUCGACGGCCGCUCGCUGUGGGCAAGAAGGAUGCUCUGCUGAAGAGCAGCUUUCGUCCCGUUUUCGCACGGCGCCGCCGGGCCUUGGUCGGCGCGGGGCUGGCGGCAGGGACGGGGCUGCGAUAUGGCCCCCGGCUCGGGGCACGGAGGCACCGAAGCUGGCGGCGGGCGGCAGGGGCUCGGCCCGACGUGCAGCCCCGUCCCCGUGCCCUGGUGCUGUCCCCAUCCCUACGCUUGCACCCACUUCGCCACCCGCUCUAACUGCCGUGCCGCAACCCGGGGGAGAGCCCACGGGGCCGGGAUGCUUGGWUUGGCCCCGGGUGCGAGCACCUGACCGGCACCGAGCCGGGAAACUCCCUGGGAAUGAUGCUGAGCACUGCUCAGCACCAGACYGCUGCUCCGGCGUGGCGGGACACGGCUCUGCCCAGCUUCUCCCUCCUCCUGGCCACUGUGGGUCCGGCACGUCGGCUGCCCCUCGCCGCAGCACCCGGCCCCGCAGCCGGAGCGGGGCUGGGCGGAGAGGGAGGGCGACCGCCGGCAAAUGCAGUGCAGGAUGCUGGAGAAACCAAUAA
rnacentral:lncRNA from 1 species